AGGCAGUUAGUUUAAGUAAAACAUUUGAUUUCGGCUCAAAAGCCCGUGGUUCAACUCCACAACUGCCCG
rnacentral:tRNA from 1 species